UCUCCGUUGGUGAACCAGCGGAGGGAUCAUUA
rnacentral:rRNA from 279 species